GACGAACGCUGGCGGCGUGCUUAACACAUGCAAGUCGAACGGAAAGGCCCUGCUUUUGUGGGGUGCUCGAGUGGCGAACGGGUGAGUAACACGUGAGUAACCUGCCCUUGACUUUGGGAUAACUUCAGGAAACUGGGGCUAAUACCGGAUAGGAGCUCCUGCUGCAUGGUGGGGGUUGGAAAGUUUCGGCGGUUGGGGAUGGACUCGCGGCUUAUCAGCUUGUUGGUGGGGUAGUGGCUUACCAAGGCUUUGACGGGUAGCCGGCCUGAGAGGGUGACCGGCCACAUUGGGACUGAGAUACGGCCCAGACUCCUACGGGAGGCAGCAGUGGGGAAUAUUGCACGAUGGGCGGAAGCCUGAUGCAGCAACGCCGCGUGCGGGAUGACGGCCUUCGGUUUGUAAACCGCUUUCGCCUGUGACGAAGCGUGAGUGACGGUAAUGGGUAAAGAAGCACCGGCUAACUACGUG
rnacentral:rRNA from 1 species